rnacentral:misc_RNA from 1 species
GGAGGGAUCAUUACCGAGUUAUACAACUCAUCAACCCUGUGAACAUACCUAUAACGUUGCCUCGGCGGGAACAGACGGCCCCGUAACACGGGCCGCCCCCGCCAGAGGACCCCCUAACUCUGUUUCUAUAAUGUUUCUUCUGAGUAAACAAGCAAAUAAAUUAAAACUUUCAACAACGGAUCUCUUGGCUCUGGCAUCGAUGAAGAACGCAGCGAAAUGCGAUAAGUAAUGUGAAUUGCAGAAUUCAGUGAAUCAUCGAAUCUUUGAACGCACAUUGCGCCCGCCAGUAUUCUGGCGGGCAUGCCUGUUCGAGCGUCAUUACAACCCUCAGGCCCCCGGGCCUGGCGUUGGGGAUCGGCGGAAGCCCCCUGCGGGCACAACGCCGUCCCCCAAAUACAGUGGCGGUCCCGCCGCAGCUUCCAUUGCGUAGUAGCUAACACCUCGCAACUGGAGAGCGGCGCGGCCACGCCGUAAAACACCCAACUUCUGAAUGUUGACCUCGAAUCAGGUAGGAAUACCCGCUGAACUUAAGCAUAUCAAUAAGCGGAGGAAAAGAAACCAACAGGGAUUGCCCCAGUAACGGCGAGUGAAGCGGCAACAGCUCAAAUUUGAAAUCUGGCUCUCGGGCCCGAGUUGUAAUUUGUAGAGGAUGCUUUUGGUGAGGUGCCUUCCGAGUUCCCUGGAACGGGACGCCAUAGAGGGUGAGAGCCCCGUCUGGUUGGACACCGAUCCUCUGUAAAGCUCCUUCGACGAGUCGAGUAGUUUGGGAAUGCUGCUCUAAAUGGGAGGUAUAUGUCUUCUAAAGCUAAAUACCGGCCAGAGACCGAUAGCGCACAAGUAGAGUGAUCGAAAGAUGAAAAGAACUUUGAAAAGAGAGUUAAAAAGUACGUGAAAUUGUUGAAAGGGAAGCGCUUGUGACCAGACUUGGGCUUGGUUGAUCAUCCGGGGUUCUCCCCGGUGCACUCUUCCGGCUCAGGCCAGCAUCAGUUCGCCCUGGGGGAUAAAGGCUUCGGGAAUGUGGCUCUCUCCGGGGAGUGUUAUAGCCCGCUGCGUAAUACCCUGUGGCGGACUGAGGUUCGCGCAUUCGCAAGGAUGCUGGCGUAAUGGUCAUCAGUGACCCGUCUUGAAACACGGACCAAGGAGUCGUCUUCGUAUGCGAGUGUUCGGGUGUCAAACCCCUACGCGAAAUGAAAGUGAACGCAGGUGAGAGCUUCGGCGCAUCAUCGACCGAUCCUGAUGUUAUCGGAUGGAUUUGAGUAAGAGCAUACGGGGCCGGACCCGAAAGAAGGUGAACUAUGCCUGUGUAGGGUGAAGCCAGAGGAAACUCUGGUGGAGGCUCGCAGCGGUUCUGACGUGCAAAUCGAUCGUCAAACAUGGGCAUGGGGGCGAAAGACUAAUCGAACCUUCUAGUAGCUGGUUUCCGC